rnacentral:rRNA from 1 species
UACGUAGGGGGGCAAGCGUUGUCCGGAUUUAUUGGGCGUAAAGAGCGUGUAGGCGGCCAGACAGGUCAGCUGUGAAAACUCGAGGCUCAACCUCGAGACGUCGGUUGAAACCGUCUGGCUAGAGUCCGGAAGAGGAGAGUGGAAUUCCCCGGUGUAGCGGUGAAAUGCGCAGAUAUCGGGAAGAACACCCGUGGCGAAGGCGGCUCUCUGGGACGGUACUGACGCUGAGACGCGAAAGCGUGGGGAGCGAACAGG